rnacentral:rRNA from 1 species
UACGGGGGGGGGUAAGCGUUGUUCGGAAUUACUGGGCGUAAAGGGCUCGUAGGCGGCCAACUAAGUCAUACGUGAAAUCCCUCAGCUUAACUGGGGAACUGCGUGUGAUACUGGAUGGCUUGGAUUUGGGAGAGGGAUGCGGAAUUCCAGGUGUAGCGGUGAAAUGCGUAGAUAUCUGGAGGAACACCUGAGGCGAAGGCGGGCUACUGGGCCGAUACUGGACGCUGAGGCGCGAAAGCCAGGGGAGCAAACGGG